rnacentral:rRNA from 1 species
GGCUCAGAACGAACGCUGGCGGCGUGCUUAACACAUGCAAGUCGAACGAACCUUCGGGUUAGUGGCGGACGGGUGAGUAACGCGUGAGAAUCUGCCCUCAGGAGGGGGAUAACGGUUGGAAACGACCGCUAAUACCCCAUAUGCCGAGAGGUGAAAAGAAAUUCGCCUGAGGAUGAGCUCGCGUCUGAUUAGCUAGUUUUUGCGGUAAUGGCGCAGCAAAGCUUCGAUCAGUAGCUGGUCUGAGAGGAUGAUCAGCCAC